rnacentral:rRNA from 1 species
UACGUAGGUCCCGAGCGUUGUCCGGAAUUACUGGGUGUAAAGGGUGCGUAGGCGGUCCGUUAAGUCAGCGGUAAAAUUGCGGGGCUCAACCCCGUCGAGCCGUUGAAACUGUCAGACUUGAGUUGGCGAGAAGUACGCGGAAUGCGCGGUGUAGCGGUGAAAUGCAUAGAUAUCGCGCAGAACUCCGAUUGCGAAGGCAGCGUACCGGCGCCACACUGACGCUGAGGCACGAAAGCGUGGGGAUCGAACAGG